AUGGGGGGCUACUACUGCUUGUUCCCCUGCUUGCUCGUCUGCUUUCUGCUCUACACACAUGGCAGCCACUCCCUGAACCAAACAUGCAAUUCCACUGACCUGGAGGCGCUUCUCGCUUUUUCCAGUGGCUUGGAUAGGAAAGGUAGCAGGCUUGUUGGAUGGGGUCCCAAUGAUGCAGCGUGCUGUUCCUGGACCGGCAUCUCUUGUGAUCUUGGGAGGGUUGUUGGGUUGAAUCUCUCCAACAAGAACCUUCAUGGCGGCAUCUCAUCCGCGAUCACCUUGCUUGAUGGCCUUGUGACUCUUAACCUCUCCCGCAACUCUCUCCGUGGCCAGCCACCAGAGGAUAUAGUCCGGUUAGCAAGGAUGCGGAUUCUCGACCUCAGCAUGAACGUGUUCUCCGGCGCGUUCCCGACGAGUGAACAUGGCUUCCCGGCAAUUGAGGUGGUGAAUGUGUCCUUCAACCAAUUCAAGGGACCGCAUCCUGUGUUCCCUGUCGCGAUGAACAUGACUAUUCUUGAUAUCUCGAAUAAUGCCUUCUCUGGUGGCAUCAACACCACCGCACUCUGUGUUGCGCCGGUCAAGGCCUUGCGGUUUUCUGGGAAUGAGUUCACCGGUGAGAUCCGCGCCGGGUUCGGCCUGUGCAAGAUGCUUACUGAGCUCUCCAUUGAUGGCAGUGGCCUUACUGGGAAACUCCCCAGGGACCUUUACACAAUAUCAGAGUUGAGGAGGCUGAGCUUACGGGAAAAUCAGCUCUCUGGUAGUCUCAGCGAGGACCUGGGUAACUUCUCUCAGCUUAUGCAUAUGGACCUGUCAUAUAACAUGUUCAGUGGCGUCAUCCCCAAUGUGUUUGGUGGUUUGAGGAGGCUGGAGUUCUUAAACUUGGCAACAAAUUUGUUGACUGGCACAUUGCCCGCUUCCCUGUCGAGCUGCCCAAUGUUGCGAGUGAUCAACCUGAGGAACAACUCACUGUCGGGCAAGAUUGCCAUUGACUUCAGUAUACUACCAAGGCUGAACGUUUUGGAUGCAGGGAGCAACAAGCUAAGUGGUCCUAUACCUCGAGAUCUCAUGUGGUGCACUAAGUUGAGGAUACUGAUCCUUGGAAGGAACCUGCUUGAUGGGGAGAUACCAGAGAGCUUUAAGAAUUUGCGAUCCUUGUCACACCUCUCGCUUUCUAGUAAUGGCCUCACCAACCUCUCAUCGGCAUUGCUGGUCUUGCAGCACCUGCCCCAACUGACGACUUUGGUGCUCACCACAAACUCGUAUGAUGGUGAGACCCUGCCAAUGGAUGGCAUCAGUGGGUUCAAGAGCAUGCAGGUGCUUGUUUUGGCAAACUGUGCGCUCUCCGGCAACAUCCCGCCUUGGCUGCAAAGAUUGGAGAGCCUCAGAGUGCUGGACCUUUCAUGGAACAAGUUGAACGGAAAGAUCCCGCUAUGGUUGGGCAAUCUGAAUAAUCUCUUCUACGUCGACCUGUCAAAGAACUUGUUCAGUGGGGAGCUUCCUGAGAGCUUUACACAGAUGAAGAGUUUAAGCUCGAGUAAUAGUAGUUCAAGUGAGCAUGCAUCAAUAGAGGACUUGCCAUUAUUCAUGAGGAAGAACUUAUCUAGCAAGGGUUUGCAAUACAACCAUGUCAGCAGCUUCCCGCCAUCGUGA
rnacentral:rRNA from 1 species